rnacentral:rRNA from 1 species
CCUACGGGAGGCAGCAGUGAGGAAUAUUGGUCAAUGGGCGAGAGCCUGAACCAGCCAAGUCGCGUGAGGGAGUACUGCCCUAUGGGUUGUAAACCUCUUUUGUCGGGGAGCAAAAGCCGGACGUGUCCGGCUGUGAGAGUACCCGAAGAAAAAGCAUCGGCUAACUCCGUGCCAGCAGCCGCGGUAAUACGGAGGAAGCGAGCGUUAUCCGGGUUUAUUGGGGUUAAAGGGUGCGCAGGCGGAUUUUUAAGUCAGCGGUCAAAUCGUGGGGCUCAACCCCAUCCAGCCGUUGAAACUGGGGAUCUAGAGUGUGCGAGAGGUAUGCGGAAUGCGUGGUGUAGCGGUGAAAUGCAUAGAUAUCACGCAGAACCCCGAUUGCGAAGGCAGCAUACCGGUGCACAACUGACGCUCAGGCACGAAAGCGUGGGUAUCGAACAGGAUUAGAUACCCGGGUAGUC